UAAAUAAUAAACUUAUGCUACUCGAU
rnacentral:piRNA from 1 species